CUUUCUCUCUCGCGCGGAACAGAGUCGCAUCGUUGCUUGGCGCUGCUGUUCGGGAGAGAUGGGAAUCGAAGCUCUUGCUCGGCACACGCUGAAGCGUCGCAUGCAACGCAUUUAGCUCUCGAAUUCGUCCACGAUCGAGCUCGUUUCGACGUCGCAUCGUGCGGUGAAAUUAGCUGGCCAUCGAUAGGCCUCUCUCGCGAGCAUGAUGUCGCCGAAGCAAGCCUCCGAGGACCGAGGAUCGACCCAGUUCAGGCACACGCCCUUGCAGAUAAUUCAUAUAUUGGGCAACUUUUUGAGAAUAUGGUCGGUCUACUCAAUGUACCGUUACUUGACCGAGACGGGAGCAUCGGUUCUGCUCUUUAUCUUCUGUUGUCUGGUCCCUGCAACAAUCCUGUUUUUGUUCCUGCAGAAGCCUUGGAAGGGUAGACCGCUCUCUAAUACUCAGGUCGUUCCUUCAGUGAUAAAUGGCGCCAUAACAGCUCUCUACUUCGUUUUGUGGGGCAAGGGCUUGAAGCUAUGUGGACCACUUAGAGCUUUAAUGGCGGAGUAUUCUGGUGCUGUUCUUGGGGUCUUAUCUGCUGUACUCUAUGGACAAAGACAGCAUCUAUGGAAAAAGGUUGGCGGGUUGGUGGCAAUGGUGGCAUCUUUCUACCUGUUGUCGCAAGGAUGGGCUAUGGCCUCAUAUUUUCCAAUAAAGUUUGGAGAAAGCCCUGAUACUGGCGUUCAGACAGAACACAAUCUGGGUAUGAAAGAAAUGAUACUUCCAAUCUUUGCGGGAAUCCUGUCAGCAUUAAGGAGAGUGAUUGCACGACGUGUCUCACUCAAGAAUCAAUAUAAAAGAAGACUUCAUGCGAUAACAGUUGCUUCUGCGACAUGCUUUCUGUUUCCUGUGGCGAUGUGGGAUAUGAUCAUAGGAUCAGAGUCUGCUGGUAGCAAGGAUUUACCAUUUUCAACAUGGGCUUUUAUGAGCACCAUUGCUUUUGGGAUUAUCUUGAUAUUUUACAUUGACAAUAUUGCGGAGGAGAGAUUGCACAUGGUUUUUUCUUCUCCGCGUCAUCUGAUGGUAGCUGGUGGAUGUAUCAUAAUCAUGGAGAUUGUUUACCAAAUGGACUUUUCUCUUCUGGGAUUUCUAAUGUGUGCCUUAAUACUAGGCUUUGGGAUACAUGCAGCAACUUCUUUACAGCGUCCUAGAGGAGAUUCUCUCCAAAAAUCAGGCCUUUCUGAUGGCAUUUUUGGUGACGAAGUACAGAUGUCGCCACUUCCAACUUGAGAGUUCUUUAUGAGGUUUGAAUGAAUGUUGGAUGAACCCAUAGUUGCUCACAUAACUUUGUCUUAUUGAUUCUUGUAUUCUGAUGUAAGUUGGGACUCUAUCAACAGUUGAUGUGACAUCCGCAAUGCCUCCUCUGCGAGCAUAAUUGAGUGCCAUUCUCGAGUUUUUUCCCAUCUAGCCUGUAAUUCUUUUGGAAGAUAAAAGCUGCUAACUUCUCACAUCAGUUGCCAUGGUUGUUCCGUGAUAUGACCUUGCGAGGCAAAGAUGAAUAAGUUGUCUUCUUUACCCGGUAAUGAGAAGAAAAUUCCUGGCAUAUUGCUCUGACCUAGACUUCAUCUUAACAGGAGCCUAUUUUGUAUUGCCGCUUUGCAUCACAUGUGGUAGCCUAACUUUUAGUUUCUGAAACACAACACCUGUAUAGAUUUACAUCAAAAGGAGUUACUUUGUAGUUUGCGCC